UCAAAUCUAGUAGCAUAGAUUUGGACAGAGUUGUUCUCAACACAGGCAAGAUGUUUCACACUUUAACAGCUGUAUUUCUCUUAGUGUUAAUGAGCGUCACCACGACAAGCGGUUGCAGACAAUGUGCAGUCAAUGGACAGCAAUAUAGGGGAAAUUCCCGAUUUCAGUUUACACAAGGCUGUUCGCGUUAUAAUUGCGUGUGUAACUGUGAUGGUAGUUGGAACUGCCCUGCUCAGGAUACAACAAACAUCUGUUCUGGAUCAAACAUAAACAAUGGUGGGUCUAGUUCGAACUGCAGAACUUGUCGAGUUAGAGGACAAACGUACACUGGAAACAGUCGUUUCCAAUAUAACAGUGGCUGUUACCGGUUUAACUGUGACUGCAACUGUGAUGGAAGUUGGAAUUGUCCGUCUAGCAGGACACAAAACAUUUGCUAAUAAGUAUGUUUUGUCAUUUAAUUGCAUUUGAUUCAACGUAAAUAUAAUUUUGAAUAAAUGCUGAUCUUGAA